UACGUAGGGUGCAAGCGUUAAUCGGAAUUACUGGGCGUAAAGCGUGCGCAGGCGGUGAUGUAAGACAGGUGUGAAAUCCCCGGGCUUAACCUGGGAACUGCAUUUGUGACUGCAUCGCUGGAGUGCGGCAGAGGGGGAUGGAAUUCCGCGUGUAGCAGUGAAAUGCGUAGAUAUGCGGAGGAACACCGAUGGAGAAGGCAAUCCCCUGGGCCUGCACUGACGCUCAUGCACGAAAGCGUGGGGAGCAAACAGG
rnacentral:rRNA from 1 species